GGACAUUCUACCUUUGUUCAGAUGUGGUAUUUAAGCUCAAAUCCUGGUCUGAGCUAUACUGCAUGUGUAUAGUGUCUGGCUGUGUGCCUUGAUGCCCCUGACCUUGCCUUGGCUUCCCUGCUUGACCUCAGACCUACCUCAUCAUGGAAAACUUGUCUGGGUUGGCAGCUGGCAAGCUAUGUACAGUCCUGCUCACCUGUUCUUCACUCCUGUUUAAGAUGUCAGCAUUGCUGAAUCCCUGCAGUAUCCUCUCUACAGAUCUGCUUUUUUGGGGGGCUGCGUGUUCAUAUGCAAUGUUGCAACUGAAGAUUAAGCUCAGAAAACUGCAAGCCUCCAGCUUCGUGUUCCCCAGUUGUACCUGCUCAGCCUGCAAGUUCAGCUGCUGGAGAUCCUUAGGCCUGGGGUGCAAACAGAGCCAUAAGAUUUUUGGGGAAGAUCAUAUUGAAGUUACUCAGUGCAAUGUGGAAGAAGCGGAGGAAAAAAUGCAGCAACUCUCAGGUGAACUCCCUGGCAUAGCCAGGUGUGGAGGAGCACUACCACUGCCAUCAUCUCGGAAGAUGGUGGUGCGCUUCUUGCUGCAGGACACCAGUGCCCCUUUUUACCUCAUUCUAUUAAGGAAGCUCUGUGGAAAUCUUCCAGGAUCUAUGUCGACUACUAGAGCUGGUGUGAAGUUAAAAGUAUGGGCAGCAGUGAUCCAGACAGCUGGUGUUUUGGAAAGAAACCUAUAACACCAAAUUGUUAAUACCUGUCAAACUGGGAUGAUCAGAAAAUGCAGUAGAGGCAUCCACUCUUGGCCACAGCUGAUGAGGAAAUACCAUGCUGAUGCAUCUUUUGCCUGAUAGAUCUAACUGCUCUUGCAGGUCUGCUGUGUGUGUGGUAAACAUGCCCAACUGUGCUGUGAAGCUGGAGGCGGAGCUUCAGAAAGUUAUUAUUUUGGUCCUUUCUUUGGAACGCUUCCUCCAGCGCAUGAGGGACUCUGAAUCACCUAGAACUGCUCUGUGCUGCAGGGACUUGGUAAGACUACCUUACCAAAGCAGUAAGGUGCAUUCCUGAUGCAAAUGAGAACAAGUUGGUAUUGUUUUAACUUUAUGGAAAUAUUCUGACAGUACAGAACGUAAAAAGGCCUCUGAUGAACAACCACGUCGUAAAAUGAGCUCCAGAAAGUUUACAUCUGUGUUGAACUGAUUUAAUUUAAGCAUAUAUUCCUUAAGAAAAUAAUUAAAUGAAGUUUUCUCAUUUACAUAAUUCCCCAGACAGGAGGUAAAAUGUGCAGAAGCUGUCACUAGCACUGCAGCAUGCAGACAUCAUUAUUUCAGACUGGCUUUUAUUUUUUUCCUCUGUUCUUUGAUUGAAAACUGCCAAAUUUCACUCAACCACCAGUUUUUAUAUUAAAUGCUGGAAAAGCAAACUUUAUUAUCCAAAACCAAAAUGCACCUGUCUGUAGGAAAUGCUGGAACAACUGCUGCUUUCUGAUUUUAAACAAUUUUCUUACUCUAUACUGAAACUGUAACUUCCAGUAUAGCACUGUGAGGAUACUUAACACAUUGGAGCUGAGUAGAACUACAAGCAAGACAAAUUAACAUGUGAAAUUAAAUAUUAUUCUGUUCUAAAGUAUGAUCAUUAUUAAAAAAAAAAGUAUCACAUGUACAUGUUAGAUAAUAUGCUGACCCUUGAAAAGUAAUGUUGAGCAGGAAACUUAACCUUGCUGCUGUCUGGAGGUGGAAGUGCUGAGGAAGGUACUGGCAGAAGGCCAGGCUAAAUGCCAGAGUCACCUCCACCUCUGGCCACAGUGGUUUUUAAGGUUUUGCAUCAGUGUACAGCACGUACUGCUACGGGAUGACUUGCUCACAGGUACAGACCCAAACAUUGUCUAUGUAUUUUAAUGAUUGUUUUCUUAAUUUGAAUUCUUUAAUAUGUAAUUGUAAAGACAAGCAAUUAGAAAUACCUCAAAGAUAGAUGUGGGCCAAAGCAGCUCCUUAAAUGGAAAAGUACAUUGCAGCUCAGGCUAAAAGUUUAUCCUGAAGCUGUAUCUUCCAUUUCCUAUUGUUUGUAGUAACCUUAAUGGAAUUUACCUAGUUAUUUAACCCAACUGAAGACAUUUUU
rnacentral:lncRNA from 7 species